UGGGGAAUAUUGGACAAUGGGCGAAAGCCUGAUCCAGCAAUACCGCGUGUGUGAAGAAGGCCUGAGGGUUGUAAAGCACUUUCAAUAGGAAGGAAUACCUGCCGGUUAAUACCCGGCAGACUGACAUUACCUAUACAAGAAGCACCGGCUAACUCCGUGCCAGCAGCCGCGGUAAUACGGAGGGUGCAAGCGUUAAUCGGAAUUACUGGGCGUAAAGCGUGCGUAGGCGGUUGUUUAAGUCAGAUGUGAAAGCCCUGGGCUUAACCUGGGAACUGCAUUUGAUACUGGGCAACUAGAGUUUAGUAGAGGGGAGUGGAAUUUCAGGUGUAGCGGUGAAAUGCGUAGAGAUCUGAAGGAACACCAGUGGCGAAGGCGGCUCCCUGGACUAAAACUGACGCUGAGGUACGAAAGCGUGGGUAGCAAACAGG
rnacentral:rRNA from 1 species